rnacentral:lncRNA from 1 species
UGCAUGAAUUCCAGGGGCUAAGAUCAAGACCAGCUGCGAGCUCAGAAAUAUGAAAGAAACUCUUGAAUAAGUGGCUUCUUUGAAGGUUUAUACUAGGGAAAGAGAUGCAAAAGACUGGUGCUAGUACAGUCAAAAUCACAAUAUUUAGUAAACCCAGAAACAAUAGAGCGGAGAAUAGGAUCCAAGAACCCCUCUGCUUCCACUAUAGCUCUGUCAUCACUUCCAUUUCCAAACAUCAACUGAAAUAAAAUAAAAUAAAAAAAAGGAAGAAAAUGAUUCACUUUUUCCCCGAAGUUCUCU